AGAAACUAGGCUUGGUGCUUCCACACAGCUUUUCUAGUUUAUUGGCUCUAUUUGCUUGUAAAAGUAUGUUUUCAAUUACACCUAAAAGGUUUGAUUCCAACUACUCUGGGAAAAGCAGUAUGUAUUGUUUUUCAUGCCCAAAUCACAUACAUUCUGGUUCAUCGGAAAUUUAAGGUGCAGUACGCUGACAUCAAAUGGCCAGCAAUAGAACAGAGUCUUGGGAGGAAGUUCCAGCCUGAAGACCUUAGGAUGCAUAAGAAUCACCUAGAAUGCUGGCUUGAAAUGCAGAUUUCUGGCCUCAACCCAUGAGACUCUGAUUCAGCAGAGCUAGUGGGGAUGUGGAAUCAUGACGCAGGACAAGACAUCACGAGAGGCAGCACAGGCGGGCAGGAAGACCGUGGACUUGGGCAUGUGACCUGGAUGGAAGUACCUGCUCUGCCUCUUCCUAGCUGUGUGGCCCUAGGCAAGUUGUUUAACGAGUGGAAGCUUAGUUUUUCUCAUUGUUAAAUUGGGAAUAAUAAUACCCUCCUUGUAGGGUUGACAUGGGGAGUAUAGAUAAUGGGACUAGCACAAUGUCUGGUCCUGUUAAAUAACAAAUAGCUUUUUUUAUUAUAACCACCAAUAAUGUGUUUGAAUUUCUC
rnacentral:lncRNA from 1 species